rfam:Cricetulus griseus cell line CHO-K1, whole genome shotgun sequence.
GGAUGUGAGAGUGAACUGGCUGCCACAUCUGUCACCCCACUGACUGUCAGGUUUGAUUAGGCUAAUAUGGCUGACUAGGCAAGUGUUCCCUUCCUCUCUCACCCCUCCAUAUGUAUCCCUCUGAUGCACAGCCAAAAGUAAAAAGAAUGAUCUUCCCCAAAUGGAGGAGGACCGGUCUGCAGUCAAGGGUAAGAAUAGCUGUAUUCCCCUGCUAGAGCCCCCUAAGACCUCUCCGAUGUCAAAUAGAAGACAACAAAACCUGAUCCUAGGGUCAGCUUAUUCACUUACCAUAGUCCAGGAAGAUCCAGGUCCAUUACACUCCUUUCAUAUUCACAUUUAUUCUCU